rnacentral:rRNA from 1 species
GACGUAGGGGGCGAGCGUUGUCCGGAUUUAUUGGGCGUAAAGCGCGCGUAGGCGGCCGCUCAAGUCGGGUGUGAAAACCCGGGGCUCAACCCCGGGCCUGCAUUCGAUACUGGGUGGCUAGAGGCAGGCAGGGGAGAGUGGAAUUCCCGGUGUAGCGGUGAAAUGCGCAGAUAUCAGGAGGAACACCGGUGGCGAAGGCGGCUCUCUGGGCCUGUCCUGACGCUCAGGCGCGAAAGCUAGGGGAGCAAACAGG